AAUAAAUGUACGCGAAACCCUAACUCCUUACAAUAUUACCACGGCAAAGUAGCGCGUGCAAUGUUUAUGCGACAUAUUUGUGUAAGGCCGCUCUCUCGCGCCUCUGACGUUUACGUAGUCAUUUCUCUUGUAUUAUUUUAAUUCUUUAAAAUAAAACCCAUUGUUAAAAGUUCAAACUCUCGUUUAAUUCCAUCAGGUUAUGGGCCGCCCCAUGCCUGGAAUAUAAAACAUAAUUUCAGGAAAUACACAAACAUGAGUUCAAACAGUGGUCUAAUGAGUAUAGAAAAAUUAACUGGAAGAGAAAAUUACGCCACUUGGAGUUUUGCAGUUAAAGCAUAUCUACAAUUGGAAGAUUUAUGGGAAUGUAUUUCAUGUGAAGACAACAAACCAGUAGAUGCAAAAAAGGACGUAAAAGCUAAGUCGAAACUGAUUUUACUUAUCGAUCCCAUUAUAUAUGUACACGUAAGAGAAGCCACUACGGCCAAGCAGGUUUGGGACAACUUGUCACGAGUUUUUGACGAUUCAGGUUUGACCCGCAAAGUGGGCCUUUUGAAGGAUUUAAUAAACACUACAUUAGAAAGUAGUGCAAACAUAGAAGACUACGUAAACAAAAUUAUGUCAUCUGCCCAUCGUUUAAGAAAUAUAGGAUUCAAAGUAGAUGACGAAUGGUUAGGCACCUUAAUGCUGGCUGGGUUACCAGAUAUGUACAAGCCUAUGAUUAUGGCUAUUGAGAGUUCGGGAGUAAAUAUUUGUGCCGAUUCCAUUAAAACAAAAUUAUUACAGGAAGUAAAAACAAUGGACACAACCGCAUUUUACUCAAACUCCAAACAACAUGGUAAAAAUGUUGAAAAGGGUGCACACAAACCAAAGGGGCCGAGAUGCUUUAAUUGUAACAAAUAUGGGCAUUUAAGUAAAAAUUGUUGGUAUAAAAAGAAUAAAACUAACAGUAAAGAUAAUGGUUUUAUUGCUGCUUUUUCAGCCACUACUUGGAAUGACUCGCUGAACUGGUACAUUGACUCCGGGGCCUCGAUGCAUAUGACAACACACAAGGAGUGGCUCGAGGACAUAACACCACCACCUGUAACAAGUAUCAGAAUUGCAAACGACAAAGUACUUCGAGUCGAGAGCUGUGGUAAUGUAACUAUCAGAUUACUGGAUACACAUGGCAAUGUAAAUAAAAUACAGAACUACUUCUGGGGUGAAGCAGUGGUCACGGCAGCGCACAUUAUAAACCGCUCGCCGACGAAAACACUUUCCUGCGUCAGUCCAGAAGAGAUAUGGUCAGGAAAGAAACCAGAUUUAAGCUACAUGAAGGUAUUCGGGUGCAAAGCUAUGGUACACAUACCUAAAGAGCGUCGACAGAAAUUGGAUCCAAAAUCCCGUGAGCUGAUAUUUGUGGGUUAUAGCGACAGUGUAAAGGGCUACCGCUUCAUAGAUCCGAAGACUAAACAAUCUGUGAUGAGCAGAGAUGUCGUAUUUCUGGAAGCCACCGUGAAGAGAAACAUUGUUUCCAAUGUGUCUGUACCUGAAAAAGAAAACACAAACAUUAGUAAAGUAAAUAAUAAUACAUAUAAAAUAAUUAACAAAAAGAAAACUAAUGAGGAAUCAAACGAAUCAAAAACAGUUUACCUACCUUUAUCCGAAGAAAAUAAAUUAAUGAAGGGAACACUGACAGUACCAAUGAAAAAAUAGAUGAUGAAACAAUAUCCACAGGUAUAAAUUCGCACUCAUCAAUUUCAUCACCAUCAUCACAUUAUUCAGAUGUAGCAGACGAGUCUUAUGAUCCUGAAGUAAAUAUCGAUAUUUCACCGCUUAAGAUACACCUUCGGUCGCAACGUCGAAAAGAAAUUUAUGAAGACGAUCAGACACAAGAAAAUACAUCUUUUAUGUGUAUGAAUGGCGAAUCCGCAAUGAGUAUUUUAGAUAAGGAUCCACAAAGUCUUUCUGAAGCCUUAGAAAGUAAAAAUGCAGAGAAAUGGAUUGAAGCGAUGCAAGAAGAAUAUCAAUCGCUACUACAUAACAAUACGUGGAAAUUAGUCGAUUUGCCGAAAAAUAAAAAAGUGAUUCCCUGCAAGUGGGUAUAUAAAACAAAAACAGACGAAAACGGCAAUGUAUGCAGAAUGAAGGCACGACUCGUUGUAAAAGGCUAUCAACAAAAAAAAGGUAUAGAUUACAACGAAAUUUAUGCACCUGUCAUCCGUUACACUUCCUUACGAUAUGUUUUUGGUUUGGCCGUAAAAUAUAAUUUAAAAAUUCACCAGAUGGAUGCUGUGACAGCUUUUCUGCAAGGGGACAUACAGGAACAUAUUUAUAUGGCACAGCCACCAUAUUUUGAGGAAGGAGAUAAAGUAUGUUUACUUCAAAAAUCUAUCUAUGGCCUGAAACAGGCAAGCCGACAGUGGAAUAAAAAACUCAAUGCAGUUUUAUUAGAAAUUGGAAUGUCACGAUCUAAAGUAGAUCCAUGUAUAUAUUAUAGGAUUGUUAAUGAACAGGACAUCCUAAUCGUCACAGUUUAUGUUGAUGACAUAUUAUUCUUUUUCAAUAAUGAAGCUACUGUCAAAAUCAUAAAAGACAAGAUGAGUACAAAAUUUCACAUGAAGGAUUUAGGAGAGGCAAAAUGUUGCAUUGGAUUAAGAAUAAUGCAUAACACUGAAUCAAAUGAAAUCUCCCUGGAUCAGUCAGUAUACAUUGAAAAGGUACUGACUCGUUUCAACAUGAGUGAUUGUAAACCAGUGCAUACACCGUGUGAAGCCAAUGUACAACUGAAAAAGGCUGAAACUGAGAGCGAUGUUUUAAAAGAUGUCCCGUAUCAAGAGCUAAUAGGAUGUCUCUUGUACUUAUCACAAGGCACCAGAGCCGAUAUAGCCUAUGCUGUAAACCAGCUAAGCCGAUUCAAUAACAGACCUACGUCACAGCACUGGAUAGCAGCAAAAAGAGUAUUAAGAUAUCUAAAAGGAACACAGCAUUUGAAACUUACCUUCAAGAAAACUGAUGCAAAUAUAAUCGGUCAUUGUGAUGCAGACUGGGCAACUGAUACUGAAGACAGGAGAUCAUGCUCUGGAUAUAUUUUCACAUUUCAGGGCGCCGCCAUUAGUUGGUGUUCAAAAAAACAACCUACAAUAGCUUUGUCUACCACCGAGGCAGAGUAUAUGUCUUUGGCUACAGCAACACAGGAAGCCCUUUGGCUCAAACAGUUGGAGGAAGAGUUCUGGCCUUCCAUGUCAGGUAUACCAAUUGUAAUAUUUUGUGAUAACCAGAGUGCUAUCAGUAUUUCAGGUGAUGACAUCUACCAUGCCAGAAGCAAACAUAUUGAUAUUCGCUAUCAUUUUGUAAGAGAGCGUAUCGCCAAUAAACAAAUCUCCGUGCGCUACAAAAGCACUCAAGACAUGAUGGCAGACAUCUUGACCAAGGGAUUGCACCGUCCAAAGCACGAGACCUUCACGAUGGCUAUGGGUUUGCGUCCAGGGGAGGAUGAUGAAAUAAAUGUACGCGAAACCCUAACUCCUUACAAUAUUACCACGGCAAAGUAGCGCGUGCAAUGUUUAUGCGACAUAUUUGUGUAAGGCCGCUCUCUCGCGCCUCUGACGUUUACGCAGUCAUUUCUCUUGUAUUAUUUUAAUUCUUUAAAAUAAAACCCAUUGUUAAAAGUUCAAA